rnacentral:rRNA from 1 species
GUGGGGAAUCUUGCGCAAUGGGCGAAAGCCUGACGCAGCGACACCGCGUGCGGGAUGAAGGCCCUCGGGUCGUAAACCGCUUUCGGCAGGGACGAAGCGAAAGUGACGGUACCUGCAGAAGAAGGUCCGGCUAACUACGUGCCAGCAGCCGCGGUAAGACGUAGGGACCGAGCGUUGUCCGGAUUCAUUGGGCGUAAAGAGCGCGUAGGCGGCUUCGCAAGUCGAGUGUGAAACGCCGGGGCUCAACCCCGGACCUGCACCCGAUACUGCGUGGCUGGAGGCAGGUAGGGGAGAGUGGAAUUCCCGGUGUAGCGGUGAUAUGCGCAGAUAUCGGGAGGAACACCGGUGGCGAAGGCGGCUCUCUGGGCCUGUCCUGACGCUGAGGCGCGAAAGCUAGGGGAGCGAACAGGAUUAGAAACCCGAGUAGUCC